rnacentral:rRNA from 1 species
UACGUAGGGUGCAAGCGUUGUCCGGAAUUAUUGGGCGUAAAGAGCUCGUAGGCGGUUUGUCGCGUCUGCUGUGAAAACCCGAGGCUCAACCUCGGGCCUGCAGUGGGUACGGGCAGACUAGAGUGCGGUAGGGGAGAUUGGAAUUCCUGGUGUAGCGGUGGAAUGCGCAGAUAUCAGGGGGAACACCGGUGGCGAAGGCGGUUCUCUGGGCAUGUCCUGACGCUGAGGAGCGAAAGUGUGGGGAGCGAACAGG